AAGUAUACACCAAACUCUUCCUCUCAUCAAGUAUAACAACAAUUAUAACUAACACAAAACCCACAAAUCAAGGGUUUGGCCGGAAAACACCUCACAAGCUCAAGAACACAAAACCCCCGAUUUGCUAUAUACUCCCAAUCGAUCUCCUACCUUUAGGGGAAAGACUAACCAACAAGAGUGCAUCAAAACCCUACCUUCAGUUUCCCGAUUGGUGGCCGGAUAAAGGAGUUCCGGCUCCUCAAAACCGGCGGCUUGACAGCGCUCCCGUGAGCUGCUGCCGGAGAGAAGAGGACAGCUACCACCCCAGAGACGUCGAGCGGAGUCCCAGCUGUCGAACGGGACCGGUGCGGCGGUCAGACGUGAUCGGACGGCGGCGAUCUGUCGGAGAGAAAUCGGAUGGGUCGGGGUCGGGCUCGGCUCGGGGAGAGAGAGAGUGGAGGGAGUUGUUGACUUUUCUAUUUUUGUUCCCAAACAUAACCGGAAGGCCUCACUUAAAAACCCCAGCCCACAUAUGGAAAGUCUUAUUAUUUAGCUAGAACCUUUACCUACGACUCUUAUUCGAGUAACUAAAAAUCUACAAGUUUGUCUACACCACCUCUAUAUAAAAUAAAACAAAUUUCCGAAUUGAUUAAGUACAAGUAAAACGGUUACCACAGUAUAAAAAUAAUUACUAGGUUCGGGGUGUAUCAAUUCUCCCCUCCAUAUAAAAAUUUCGUCCUCGAAAUUUCCAUACCUGUCAAUAAAAGAGGUGGGGAUACUGCUGCCUCAUCUUAUCCUCCGGUUCCCAAGUAGCCUCCUCAACCUGAUGACUUCUCCGAAGGACCUUAACAAGUCGAACCGUCUUAUUUCUCAGCACUUUCACUUUUUGAUCCAAGAUCUGAACCAGUUCUUCUUCGUAGGUCAAAUCCUUCUUUAAACUAAUGGGUUGUUUUUGCAAGAUAUGAGAAGGAUCGGCUAUAAAAUAAAAAUCUACAAGUUUGUCUACACCACCUCUAUAUAAAAUAAAACAAAUUUCCGAAUUGAUUAACUACAAGUAAAACGGAUACCACAGUAUAAAAAUAAUUACAAGGUUCGGGGUGUAUCACUUCCGGACUUGCGUAAGGUAUUUCAUCUCUCUUCUCUCACAUUCAGCUAGUUGAUUUUAAUUUUUUUUUUUGGGUUAAUUGUAAGGAUUGUUACAUGUUGGGUAAUUUAAGGAUUUCAAGGUUUGUGGUUGAUAUGUUGAUAUUGGUUGAGUAUUGGUGUUCUAGGUUUGUGUUAAUACUCUAUUUCACAUAAGAUUCCUGACUUUUGGGUGUUUGGGUUUACUCCUAAGCAAGCUCGUUAUUCAAGUAUGACUUUUGGGUGUUCGUUGUUGUCAUGAUAGUGAUGGGCUGGCUU
rnacentral:lncRNA from 1 species